AUUGAACGCUGGCGGCAUGCCUUACACAUGCAAGUCGAACGGCAGCACGGGAGCAAUCCUGGUGGCGAGUGGCGAACGGGUGAGUAAUAUAUCGGAACGUGCCCAGUCGUGGGGGAUAACGUAGCGAAAGCUACGCUAAUACCGCAUACGAUCUACGGACGAAAGCGGGGGAUCGCAAGACCUCGCGCGAUUUCAGCGGCCGAUAUCAGAUUAGCUAGUUGGUGGGGUAAAAGCCCACCAAGGCGACGAUCUGUAGCUGGUCUGAGAGGACGACCAGCCACACUGGAACUGAGACACGGUCCAGACUCCUACGGGAGGCAGCAGUGGGGAAUUUUGGACAAUGGGCGAAAGCCUGAUCCAGCAAUGCCGCGUGCAGGACGAAGGCCUUCGGGUUGUAAACUGCUUUUGUACGGAGCGAAACGGUCUUCUCUAAUACAGGAGGCUAAUGACGGUACCGUAAGAAUAAGCACCGGCUAACUACGUGCCAGCAGCCGCGGUAACAC
rnacentral:rRNA from 1 species